rnacentral:rRNA from 1 species
CAAGUCGAGCGAGAAACUACCUAUGACCCUUCGGGGGAUUAGACUAGUGGACAGCGGCGGACGGGUGAGUAACGCGUAAAUAACCUGCCAUACACACAAGGAUAGCCAUCGGAAACGGUGAUUAAUACUUGAUGAGGCUACAGAUUCGCAUGAAUCAGUAGUUAAAGAAUUUUGGUGUAUGAUGGAUUUGCGUUUGAUUAGCUAGUUGGUAAGGUAAAAGCUUACCAAGGCGAUGAUCAAUAGCCGGCCUGAGAGGGUGAACGGCCACACUGGAACUGAGACACGGUCCAGACUCCUACGGGAGGCAGCAGUGGGGAAUAUUGCACAAUGGAGGAAACUCUGAUGCAGCAACGCCGCGUGAACGAAGAAGGCUUUCGAGUCGUAAAGUUCUGUUAUAGGGGAAGAAGAAGUGACGGUACCCUAUGAGAAAGCCACGGCUAAUUACGUGCCAGCAGCCGCGGUAAUACGUAAGUGGCAAGCGUUAUCCGGAAUUACUGGGCAUAAAGAGUUCGUAGGCGGUCAAUCAAGCCAAUAGUGAAAUCCAUCGGCCUAACCGAUGUAAGCUAAUGGAACUGAGUGACUUGAGUACAGGAGAGGAAAGUGGAAUUCCUAGUGUAGUAGUGAAAUGCGUAGAUAUUAGGAAGAACAUCAGUAGCGAAGGCGACUUUCUGGACUGUAACUGACGCUGAGGAACGAAAGCGUGGGGAGCGAACAGGAUUAGAUACCCUGGUAGUCCACGCCGUAAACGAUGGAUACUUGGUGUUGGCCGUAAAGGUCGGUGCCGGAGCAAAUGUAUUACGUAUCCCGCCUGGGGAGUACGGUCGCAAGGCUGAAACUCAAAAGAAUUGACGGGGACCCGCACAAGCAGCGGAGCAUGUGGUUUCAUUCGAAGCAAACGCGAAGAAC